UACGUAGGGGGCAAGCGUUGUCCGGAUUUAUUGGGCGUAAAGAGCGUGUAGGCGGCUUUGCAAGUCCGUUGUGAAAACUCGAGGCUCAACCUCGAGACGCCGGUGGAAACUGCAAAGCUAGAGUCCGGAAGAGGAGAGUGGAAUUCCUGGUGUAGCGGUGAAAUGCGCAGAUAUCAGGAGGAACACCGGUGGCGAAGGCGGGUCUCUGGGCCGAUACUGACGCUGAGGAGCGAAAGCGUGGGGAGCGAACAGG
rnacentral:rRNA from 1 species